rnacentral:rRNA from 1 species
AUGCAGUCGACGAUGAAGCCCAGCUUGCUGGGUGGAUUAGUGGCGAACGGGUGAGUAACACGUGAGUAACCUGCCCCCGACUCUGGGAUAAGCCCGGGAAACUGGGUCUAAUACCGGAUAUUACCUCUUGCCGCAUGGCAGGUGGUGGAAAGAUUUAUCGGUGGGGGAUGGACUCGCGGCCUAUCAGCUUGUUGGUGAGGUAAUGGCUCACCAAGGCGACGACGGGUAGCCGGCCUGAGAGGGUGACCGGCCACACUGGGACUGAGACACGGCCCAGACUCCUACGGGAGGCAGCAGUGGGGAAUAUUGCACAAUGGGCGAAAGCCUGAUGCAGCGACGCCGCGUGAGGGAUGACGGCCUUCGGGUUGUAAACCUCUUUCAGUAGGGAAGAAGCGAAAGUGACGGUACCUGCAGAAGAAGCGCCGGCUAACUACGUGCCAGCAGCCGCGGUAAUACGUAGGGCGCAAGCGUUAUCCGGAUUUAUUGGGCGUAAAGAGCUCGUAGGCGGUUUGUCGCGUCUGCCGUGAAAGUCCGAGGCUCAACCUCGGAUCUGCGGUGGGUACGGGCAGACUAGAGUGAUGUAGGGGAGACUGGAAUUCCUGGUGUAGCGG